rnacentral:rRNA from 1 species
UACAGAGGUCCCGAGCGUUGUUCGGAUUCACUGGGCGUAAAGGUGCGUAGGUGGCAUGGUAAGUUUGAUGUGAAAGCUCAGGGCUUAACCCUGAAAUGGCAUUGAAUACUACUGUGCUGGAGGUUUAGGAGGGGGGACUGGAAUUCUUGGUGUAGCAGUGAAAUGCGUAGAUAUCAAGAGGAACACCAGUGGCGAAGGCGAGUCCCUGGACAACACCUGACACUGAGGCACGAAAGCUAGGGGAGCAAACAGG